AGUAAAAUGUUUAUUAAUAAUUAGUAAAAAAAAUAUUUUUAUUAUUAGUAUUAUUAUAGAAUAUAAUUAAAUAAUAAUAGUGUAUUAGUAUAGUGAUAGGAGAUUGAAAUAAGAAUUUAAUUAUUUAAAAGAAGUAUUAAGUUUAUGUACCUUGUGUAUCAGGGUUUAUUAAAAAAGUUUUUAGGAUUAUAUAUUCUCGAAUUAUAAAGAGUUAGUAUUAUAUAUCUUUAAUUGUGUCAGAACUUUUUAAAAUAUAAUAUUUGAAAUGAAACGUUAGUCGUUUUUUAAGAUAUCUAGUUUUUUAAGAAAUGAAUUUAAUUUAGUUAAUUAAAUGCUUUGGGUUACGUUGUUAAUGUGAAGUUUUAUUUAAGUAAUAUUUUGAGGGAUAAGCUUCAAAUUAGAUUAUUAAAAUAAUAUAUUUAUAUGCAUAAAGAUUAGUAGGAUUGGAAAUUUUUAUCUUUAGUUUGUUUCAAUUAGUUUUUAUUAGAAUAAGAUUUAUAUUGAGUGUUUAGGUUGUCUAUUAAAAUGAUUUAUUUAUUAUUAAAGUAAGUGUGAUAAUGAUAAAAUUAGUAUAUAAUAUUGUAUUGUUAAAUUAAUUAGUUAAGGUUGAAUUAAGGAAUUCGGCAAAGUGAUUUUCCGCCUGUUUAUUAAAAACAUGUCUUUUUGAUCAUAAUUUAAAGUCUGACCUGCCCAAUGAGGAGUUAAAUGGCCGCGGUAAUUUGACCGUGCAAAGGUAGCAUAAUCAUUAGUUUUUUAAUUGGAAGCUGGAAUGAACGGUUGGACGAGGGAGUAACUGUCUCGGUUUAAUUGAUUUAGAAUUUUAUUUUUAAGUAAAAAAGCUUAAAUAAAUUUAAAAGACGAGAAGACCCUAUAGAGUUUUACACAAUUUAUUAUAUAAAAGUAUUAGUAUAUAGCUAUUUAUAUAAUAAAUUGUGUUUUGUUGGGGUGACAGAAAAAUUAAAUGAACUUUUUUUAUAUUGAAACAUUAAUGUAUGAGUGAAUGAUCCGCCAAGGGCGAUUAUAAGGUUAAAUUACCUUAGGGAUAACAGCGUAAUUUUUUUUGAGAGUUCUAAUCGAAAAAAGAGUUUGCGACCUCGAUGUUGGAUUAAAAUUAAUUUUCGGUGUAGGGGCUGAAAUAUUGGGUCUGUUCGACCUUUAAAAUUUUACAUGAUCUGAGUUUAAACCGGCGUAAGCCAGGUUGGUUUCUAUCUUUAAAUUAAACAAAUAUUUUAGUACGAAAGGACCAGAUAUUUAUAAUAGUUAUUAUAUUUUGAAUAUUAUUAAAUAUUACUUUGGCAGAUUAGUGCUUUAAAUUUAGAAUUUAAGAAAGUGGGGUAAACACAAGUAAU
rnacentral:rRNA from 1 species